rnacentral:rRNA from 1 species
UGCAAGUCGAGCGAGAAAGUAUCUUCGGAUAUGAGUAGAGCGGCGGACGGGUGAGUAACGCGUAGGAAUCUACCUAGUAGAAGGGGAUAGCCCGGGGAAACUCGGAUUAAUACCGUAUACCUCCUAAGGGAGAAAGAGGGCCUCUCUUGAAGCUCUCGCUAUUAGAUGAGCCUGCGUAAGAUUAGCUUGUUGGUAAGGUAAUGGCUUACCAAGGCUACGAUCUUUAGCUGGUCUGAGAGGACGAUCAGCCACAUUGGGACUGAGACACGGCCCAGACUCCUACGGGAGGCAGCAGUGGGGAAUAUUGGACAAUGGGCGCAAGCCUGAUCCAGCCAUACCGCGUGUGUGAAGAAGGCCUUCGGGUUGUAAAGCACUUUAAGCAGGGAGAAAAAGCAAUAAGUUAAUACCUUAUUGCCGUGAUGUUACCUGCAGAAUAAGCACCGGCUAAUUCCGUGCCAGCAGCCGCGGUAAUACGGAAGGUGCAAGCGUUAAUCGGAAUUACUGGGCGUAAAGCGCGCGUAGGUGGUUUGUUAAGUUGGAUGUGAAAGCCCUGGGCUCAACCUAGGAACUGCAUCCAAAACUAACUCACUAGAGUACGAUAGAGGGAGGUAGAAUUCAUAGUGUAGCGGUGGAAUGCGUAGAUAUUAUGAAGAAUACCAGUGGCGAAGGCGGCCUCCUGGAUCUGUACUGACACUAAAGUGCGAAAGCGUGGGUAGCGAACAGGAUUAGAUACCCUGGUAGUCCACGCCGUAACGAUGA